rnacentral:rRNA from 1 species
UACGGAGGGUGCAAGCGUUAAUCGGAAUUACUGGGCGUAAAGCGUGCGUAGGCGGUUCGUUAAGUCUGUUGUGAAAGCCCCGGGCUCAACCUGGGAAUGGCAAUGGAUACUGGCGAGCUAGAGUGUGUCAGAGGAUGGUGGAAUUCCCGGUGUAGCGGUGAAAUGCGUAGAGAUCGGGAGGAACAUCAGUGGCGAAGGCGGCCAUCUGGGACAACACUGACACUGAGGCACGAAAGCGUGGGGAGCAAACAGG